rnacentral:piRNA from 1 species
GACUAAAUUCACCAAGGAAGAGACGUC